UACAGAGGGGGCAAGCGUUGUUCGGAAUUACUGGGCGUAAAGGGCGCGUAGGCGGCCCGCUAAGUCGAACGUGAAAUCCCCGAGCUCAACUCGGGAACUGCGUCCGAUACUGGCGGGCUUGAAUGCGGGAGAGGGAUGUGGAAUUCCAGGUGUAGCGGUGAAAUGCGUAGAUAUCUGGAGGAACACCAAUGGCGAAGGCAGCUCGCUGGAACGGUACUGACGCUGAGGCGCGAAAGCGUGGGGAGCGAACAGG
rnacentral:rRNA from 1 species